rnacentral:rRNA from 1 species
GACGAACGCUGGCGGCGUGCUUAACACAUGCAAGUCGAACGGAAAGGCCCUGCUUUUGUGGGGUGCUCGAGUGGCGAACGGGUGAGUAACACGUGAGUAACCUGCCCUUGACUUUGGGAUAACUUCAGGAAACUGGGGCUAAUACCGGAUAGGAGCUCCUGCUGCAUGGUGGGGGUUGGAAAGUUUCGGCGGUUGGGGAUGGACGCGGGGGUUAUCAGCUUGUUGGUGGGGUAGUUGCUAACCAGGGCUUUGACGGGUAGCCGGCAUGAGAGGGUGACCGGCGACAUUGCGCCUGAGAUACGGCCCAGACUGCUACGGGAGGCAGCAGUGGGGAAUAUUGCACAAUGGGCGGAAGCCUGAUGCAGCAACGCCGCGUGCGGGAUGACGGCCUUCGGGUUGUAAACCGCUUUCGCCUGUGACGAAGCGUGAGUGACGGUAAUGGGUAAAGAAGCACCGGCUAACUACGUG